AAAGAUUCAUCGCUGAUAGAUAGGCAUGCGUUCCAUUAGGCAGUUGGCGGGGUAACGGCCCACCAAACCGACGAUGGAUAGGGGUUCUGAGAGGAAGGUCCCCCACAUUGGUACUGAGACACGGACCAAACUCCUACGGGAGGCAGCAGUGAGGAAUAUUGGUCAAUGGGCGUAAGCCUGAACCAGCCAAGUCGCGUGAGGGAUGAAGGUUCUAUGGAUCGUAAACCUCUUUUAUAAGGGAAUAAAGUGCGGGACGUGUCCCGUUUUGUAUGUACCUUAUGAAUAAGGAUCGGCUAACUCCGUGCCAGCAGCCGCGGUAAUACGGAGGAUCCGAGCGUUAUCCGGAUUUAUUGGGUUUAAAGGGUGCGUAGGCGGCCUUUUAAGUCAGCGGUGAAAGUCUGUGGCUCAACCAUAGAAUUGCCGUUGAAACUGGGAGGCUUGAGUAUGUUUGAGGCAGGCGGAAUGCGUGGUGUAGCGGUGAAAUGCUUAGAUAUCACGCAGAACCCCGAUUGCGAAGGCAGCCUGCCAAGCCAUGACUGACGCUGAUGCACGAAAGCGUGGGGAUCAAACAGGAUUAGAUACCCUGGUAGUCCACGCAGUAAACGAUGAUCACUAGCUGUUUGCGAUACAGUGUAA
rnacentral:rRNA from 1 species